UGGGGAAUAUUGGACAAUGGGCGAAAGCCUGAUCCAGCCAUGCCGCGUGUGUGAAGAAGGUCUUCGGAUUGUAAAGCACUUUAAGUUGGGAGGAAGGGCAGUUACCUAAUACGUGAUUGUUUUGACGUUACCGACAGAAUAAGCACCGGCUAACUCUGUGCCAGCAGCCGCGGUAAUACAGAGGGUGCAAGCGUUAAUCGGAAUUACUGGGCGUAAAGCGCGCGUAGGUGGUUUGUUAAGUUGGAUGUGAAAUCCCCGGGCUCAACCUGGGAACUGCAUCCAAAACUGGCAAGCUAGAGUAUGGUAGAGGGUGGUGGAAUUUCCUGUGUAGCGGUGAAAUGCGUAGAUAUAGGAAGGAACACCAGUGGCGAAGGCGACCACCUGGACUGAUACUGACACUGAGGUGCGAAAGCGUGGGGAGCAAACGGGAUUAGAUACCCCUGUAGUCCCUGAGCGGGCUGGCAAGGCGCAU
rnacentral:rRNA from 1 species